UUACGGGAGGCAGCAGUGGGGAAUCUUGCGCAAUGGGCGAAAGCCUGACGCAGCGACGCCGCGUGUGGGAUGACGGCCUUCGGGUUGUAAACCACUGUCGGGAGGGACGAAGCUCUGACGGUACCUCCAAAGGAAGCACCGGCUAACUCUGUGCCAGCAGCCGCGGUAAUACAGAGGGUGCAAGCGUUGUCCGGAAUCACUGGGCGUAAAGGGCGCGUAGGCGGCCUGAUAAGUAGGGGGUGAAAUCCUGCGGCUUAACUGCAGGGCUGCCUCCUAGACUGUCGGGCUCGAGCACGGUAGAGGCAGAUGGAAUUCCCGGUGUAGCGGUGGAAUGCGUAGAGAUCGGGAAGAACAUCGGUGGCGAAGGCGGUCUGCUGGGCCGUUGCUGACGCUGAGGCGCGACAGCGUGGGGAGCAAACAGGAUUAGAUACCCCGGU
rnacentral:rRNA from 1 species